GCACCUUGCUUACACCGAGGAGACAUCCGUGCAACCCGAAUUACUUUGA
rnacentral:tRNA from 1 species